rnacentral:rRNA from 1 species
CGGCAACAGCUCAAAUUUGAAAUCUGGCCCUAGGCCCGAAUUGUAAUUUGUAGAGGUAGCUUUUGGUGCGGCGCCUUCUGAGUUCCCUGGAACGGGACGCCACAGAGGGUGAGAGCCCCGUAUAGUCGGACGCCAAACCGAUGUAUAGCUCCUUCGAC